AGCAGGCAAAGGUAAGAAAGAUCAUUAAACAUGCAAAAAGAGAAUAUUGGAGAAACUUUUGUAAUACCGUAGAAAGAGAAACAAAAAUCUAUCAAAUUUGGAAAACAAUUAAAAGAAUGAACAGUAUUAGAAAAUAAUAUGGACAUCACUAGGAUUUAGAUCCAGUUUCCAGGCGAAGAUACAAACAGUUAAUUGACAGAUAUGUUGGAUAUGACCCGAAUCUCAUCAAGUUGAGUGAGUUUUCGAGAGAACCUCUAGAUUUGCCGUUAAUCGAGGCCGUUGAUAUCACGAACUAUCUGGUACUUCAAACGUCUUACUACACUAAACAGCAGAGGAAAGCCUACAAAAGUCUGGAGGCCUAUAACUUUUUUGUCAGCGGGUGGAUCCAGAACCUCGGCACCAAACGGCUCCGGGAAAAUGAUCGUUUGGUCUUUGCCAAGGUAAACCACUCUCAGAGAUGAAACGCCUCUGAAGACCUGGAUUAUUACGAAGGAGGAUGGAGAAGUCAUUGCAGGGAUCCAGGAAGCAAGAGCUUGAUGAAGAUCUUGUGGACUUCAUAGUGAAGGACUCCCAGCCUUUCUCUCAGAGGAAAGCCUACAAAAGUCUGGAGGCCUAUAACUUUUUUGUCAGCGGGUGGAUCCAGAACCUCGGCACCAAACGGCUCCGGGAAAAUGAUCGUUUGGUCUUUGCCAAGGUAAACCACUCUCAGAGAUGAAACGCCUCUGAAGACCUGGAUUAUUACGAAGGAGGAUGGAGAAGUCAUUGCAGGACUAUCUGAAUCGUGUUCUCAUGUAGGGGCAGUACUAUUUUCACUUGAAGCUGGGGUAAAGAUGUGAGAUACAGCUUCUUGUACUACAGAGAAGUACAAGAAGCUGAUGCCAUCACAUGUAAAAAAGAUUCCUGCUGCUCCAGUAGCUGUGAUCGACCUGUCAUCAGCAAAGUCCAAAAAACAAAAGCUUGAUGGUUCCAUCGAGGGCAGGAGAACUGAAAACACGGUGGGGAAAUCAUCUCUAUGUCCAAGAGUGAAGAGGGGGUCAGAAACGUAUGCUAGGUUUUUUUGAGACGUUAAGCAAAAACUAACCCAGGAGUGCAGCACUGAUGGCUAGGGAGCCUUACCACAAAGAAUUUAUCCCCAAAUCCAGCAUGCUACCUAAAACUAUUCUUGAAUACCGAACAGCAAAGACUCUGGAGCUUCCCUCGAAAGAGCUUGAAGAGCUCUGCCAGGAAUUUCAGCUAGAAGAUCUCACCCUGUCCGAAGUCCAAGCUGUAGAGAGGGCAACCAGAGGUCAAAGUGCAAGCAGGAUUUGGUUUAAACAAAGAGCUGGACUCAUAACAGCCUCUAAGUUGAAACAAGUUCUUAAGACAAAUUCCCAGCAACCAUCCAAGAGCUUGAUCAAGGCUAUAUGCUACCCAGAAGCAUACAGGUUCACCACAGCUGUUACAAGUGCCCCCACUCUCACCAAGAUGAGGCCGAUCAAAAGGGCUUCUGCCUCAUCAAUGAUGGGAGUAAUCUCACACUUGACUGAAGUCAUGACGACUACUAUCACGUUCAGGACUCCCGGUUGAACUCCGUCUCCAGUGCCUUAGUUCGAAGAUCUGCCAGCUCUGUUGUGUUCCUCCAUCUUUUCAAUGUCAUCCAUUGUUAGUUCAGUCUGGCAUCCAACAUCUACGUAGUCUGUAAUUUAGCAGUGGGGAGGAUAUACCUGAACGAAUAUGAAUUAUGUGAUUUGUUGUGUAUCAAUUGUUUUGAGAAUCUUUUUUACAAACACGCAAGCCCUCUGGUUCAAUUAUACAGAAUGUACACAAAAUUCAAUUUCUAUGUUUCAUUAUAUAUUCAUUUCCACAGAUGGGUAUUCAUAAUCUUUUGUAAAAUAUAUUCAAAUUGAAAUAUGUCCUUAUGUUAGAAAUUCUUAUUUUUAUACAC